rnacentral:rRNA from 1 species
UACGUAGAUGACGAGCGUUGUCCGGAUUUACUGGGCGUAAAGAGCGCGCAGGCGGUCGUUCAAGUCGAGUGUGAAAGCCCCCGGCUCAACUGGGGAGGGUCAUUCGAUACUGAUCGACUCGAAGGCAGGAGAGGGUAGUGGAAUUCCCGGUGUAGUGGUGAAAUGCGUAGAUAUCGGGAGGAACACCAGUGGCGAAGGCGACUACCUGGCCUGUUCUUGACGCUGAGGCGCGAAAGCUAGGGGAGCAAACGGG